GACGUAGGGCGCGAGCGUUGUCCGGAUUUAUUGGGCGUAAAGAGCUCGUAGGCGGCUUGUUGCGUCGGCUGUGAAAACCCAUGGCUCAACCGUGGGCUUGCAGCCGAUACGGGCAGGCUAGAGUUCGGUAGGGGAGACUGGAAUUCCUGGUGUAGCGGUGAAAUGCGCAGAUAUCAGGAGGAACACCGGUGGCGAAGGCGGGUCUCUGGGCCGAUACUGGCGCUGAGGAGCGAAAGCGUGGGGAGCGAACAGG
rnacentral:rRNA from 1 species